ACCAGUGGUUGAAAAGUAUUUUUUAUUAAACUAGAAGUCAAAUUUACAUAAGAAAAGUGCAAAUUUACAGUUCAUUUAAAAAUACAUUUUGAUGACAUUUUAAUUUGAGUAUUUUCCUUCGUCACAAACUCUUUCGGUUGAAUUCUUAAAGAACUUAAAGUAUAACAAGAAAGAAAAAAGUACAUCUUUGUUCCAUCAGGUUAAACAAAACACUUAGAACACAAUUAAUAUUAAUGUCUUCUUGCAGCUUCGACUUCUGUUAAAUUUGUUUCACUUUUAUUUACGUUCGUAUCAACAGGGCUUGUUGCGUUAAUGAUGAUUAAACUGCGUCAUGUACAUUCAAACCUUCGAUUGAUGUAUGACAUCAUAUCAGCUAACGGUAAAGAAUCUAAAA